UACGUAGGGACCAAGCGUUGUUCGGAUUUACUGGGCGUAAAGGGCGCGUAGGCGGCGCGGUAAGUCACUUGUGAAAUCUCUGAGCUUAACUCAGAACGGCCAAGUGAUACUGCAGUGCUAGGGUGUGGAAGGGGCAAUCGGAAUUCUUGGUGUAGCGGUGAAAUGCGCAGAUAUCAGGAGGAACACCGGUGGCGAAGGCGGGUCUCUGGGCCGAUACUGACGCUGAGGAGCGAAAGCGUGGGGAGCGAACAGG
rnacentral:rRNA from 1 species